rnacentral:rRNA from 1 species
UACAGAGGGGGCAAGCGUUAUUCGGAAUUAUUGGGCGUAAAGGGCGCGUAGGCGGCCUGCCAAGUGGAAGGUGAAAUCCCUCGGCUUAACCGAGGAACUGCCUUCCAAACUGUUUGGCUUGAGCCCGGGAGAGGCGAGUGGAAUUCCCAGUGUAGCGGUGAAAUGCGUAGAUAUUGGGAGGAACACCAGUGGCGAAGGCGGCUCGCUGGACCGGUCCUGACGCUCAGGCGCGAAAGCGUGGGGAGCGAUCCGG